GGGUUGUGAGGUUAAGCGACUAAGCGUACACGGUGGAUGCCCUGGCAGUCAGAGGCGAUGAAGGGCGUGCUAAUCUGCGAUAAGCGCCGGUAAGGUGAUAUGAACCGUUAUAACCGGCGAUACCCGAAUGGGGAAACCCAGUGUGACUCGUCACACUAUCAUUAACUGAAUCCAUAGGUUAAUGAGGCGAACCGGGGGAACUGAAACAUCUAAGUACCCCGAGGAAAAGAAAUCAACCGAGAUUCCCCCAGUAGCGGCGAGCGAACGGGGAGGAGCCCAGAGCCUGAAUCAGCAUGUGUGUUAGUGGAAGCGUCUGGAAAGGCGCGCGAUACAGGGUGACAGCCCCGUACACAAAAGCGCAUGUGCUGUGAGCUCGAUGAGUAGGGCGGGACACGUGGUAUCCUGUCUGAAUAUGGGGGGACCAUCCUCCAAGGCUAAAUACUCCUGACUGACCGAUAGUGAACCAGUACCGUGAGGGAAAGGCGAAAAGAACCCCGGCGAGGGGAGUGAAAAAGAACCUGAAACCGUGUACGUACAAGCAGUGGGAGCACCCUUUGGGUGUGACUGCGUACCUUUUGUAUAAUGGGUCAGCGACUUAUAUUCUGUAGCAAGGUUAACCGAAUAGGGGAGCCGGAGGGAAACCGAGUCUUAACUGGGCGUUAAGUUGCAGGGUAUAGACCCGAAACCCGGUGAUCUAGCCAUGGGCAGGUUGAAGGUUGGGUAACACUAACUGGAGGACCGAACCGACUAAUGUUGAAAAAUUAGCGGAUGACCUGUGGCU
rnacentral:rRNA from 1 species